rnacentral:rRNA from 1 species
UGGGGAAUAUUGCACAAUGGGCGCAAGCCUGAUGCAGCCAUGCCGCGUGUAUGAAGAAGGCCUUCGGGUUGUAAAGUACUUUCAGCGGGGAGGAAGGGAGUAAAGUUAAUACCUUUGCUCAUUGACGUUACCCGCAGAAGAAGCACCGGCUAACUCCGUGCCAGCAGCCGCGGUAAUACGGAGGGGGCAAGCGUUAAUCGGAAUUACUGGGCGUAAAGCGCACGCAGGCGGUUGAUUGAGUCAGAUGUGAAAUCCCCGGGCUUAACCCGGGAAUUGCAUCUGAUACUGGUCAGCUAGAGUCUUGUAGAGGGGGGUAGAAUUCCAUGUGUAGCGGUGAAAUGCGUAGAGAUGUGGAGGAAUACCGGUGGCGAAGGCGGCCCCCUGGACAAAGACUGACGCUCAGGUGCGAAAGCGUGGGGAGCAAACAGG